GGUGUGAUUACGGUGGAGCAGUUGGCCUUGAAGCAGUCCAGCAGUGAGCCUCCAGUCCCUUCAGCUGGUGGAUCCAGGAAGAGUCUUCUCUGCUGUGACAUUGGCCCUGUGGAACAUCCUGCCCCAUGGAUCCCACCUAAUUGAUGGUGGCACACUUCUCAAUGCCCGAGAACAAGUCAACGCUGCCAGGCUGUGGCCACUGGCAUCCUGUGUGACCAGAAAAUCCUGCUGGGCCUUAAACUGAAGAUCUUCCACCCGGUGGUCCACCUGGAAGUUCCUCCUCUAUGGGGUGAGACGAUGGCUAACAGUGAAAGGACACGAACACGCACUGCAGAUAGGGGAAAUGCAAAUGAUCAGAUGGUCAUGGGGAGGGUCAACAGGGCUGGAUCAGAUGACAGAGAUCCUGAAGGCCUUCAAAGUUGCUCCAAUUGCAUACAAAAUGAGAGAAGCCAUGAUGGGGUGGUACAGACCAGCGGAAAGAGCCGAUGUGGAAUCCACUGUGAAGUGGACACUUGCACUUAAUCCCAGAUGGCCAGCAGCCUCCCUCCCCAAGGACAACUGAAAAAGCGAUGGAUGGACUGCCUGCAUGAAAAUAUGCAAGCCACUGGCAUGUGCCUUGCCGAUGCUACAGACUGGAUGUAGCAGUGGGUGAAAAUGCAAAACUACAGACCCCGCCGUAUGAUGGCGAUAACGCAAAGGACAAGAAGCCUAGCCACUGAGAGGGCCAAUGGCUCCUUUAGGCUUGUACAAGACCUUAGGGGGAUAAAUAGGGUUACGGUUCUCCUAGGAUGGCCAGCCUGCCUACAAGAUGCAGCUGCUACAGCCUGCUGACAACUGGAACUAACAAAAUUGACUUUGGGAAAAAUGACGAGGGUCUGAGUCCUCGGUGAAGUUGUGGACCUUUUGGAACAUAAGUUGACAGGAAGCAGACUGACAAAAUAUCCAUCCCUCUGGAACACCCUGCCACUCCCAGGAUGAGGCUUGCCCCCAUGUCCUAUCCUUCUGCAAGAGCCUGAAGACCUGGCUCUGAGAGUUGGCCUGCGGUCCCAAUGGGGGGAGUCCCAUCACUGGAAGUGGCUGCUGGACUAAUUCAUUGACCCCACCUCCUCCUACGCAUCCUACUCCCCUCUACUCCCCUCUUUCAUAUUGUGCUUUUAUUGUUUCUUUUUAUUGCAUUGCUGUUUAUGGUAUACCUCUUUGGCAGCCGUAACAGGCUCUUUUGGGGGUGGGUGGGCACUCUAUUAGAAUGGGACAUUCUGAGCAAAUUGCAAGCUACAGUGGUGCUUGAGGAGCAUGAAAUGAUCUUGAACAUUCCAAAAUGUGAGGCAUGGGACCAUUUUGCCUUUUUUUUUUGGGGGGGGGGGGAAACCCAGAGCAGAAUAAAUCAUGGAUGCUGUGGCAGGACUGGAGUGGGCUGGUGGGGAAACCAGGAAGGACAAAAAAAAAAGAGUGCUCAAAACCGCCCUGGCACCCUGCCUGCAAGGCCACCCACUGCCUCCAUGGCCCACCACAGAUCACUGGUCCAGCAGUGCCAUGGCAGCCACGCCCUCUGCCCGUGCCCCGCAUAUCUGCACGCGAUGGGACACGAGGUGUGGAUUCUUGUCCCGGCUGCCAUGCCCUUGGCUGCGACGGCGGAAUGGCGGGGAGGUGUGUUUCAACUUAAACUCCCAGAAUUCCUGCGCCAGUAGGCAACCUUGG